rnacentral:rRNA from 1 species
AGUGAACGCUGGCGGUAGGCCUAACACAUGCAGGUCGAACGGCAGCACAGUAAGAGCUUGCUCUUACGGGUGGCGAGUGGCGGACGGGUGAGGAAUACAUCGGAAUCUACUUUUUCGUGGGGGAUAACGUAGGGAAACUUACGCUAAUACCGCAUACGACCUACGGGUGAAAGCAGGGGAUCUUCGGACCUUGCGCGAUUGAAUGAGCCGAUGUCGGAUUAGCUAGUUGGCGGGGUAAAGGCCCACCAAGGCGACGAUCCGUAGCUGGUCUGAGAGGAUGGUCAGCCACACUGGAACUGAGACACGGUCCAGACUCCUACGGGAGGCAGCAGUGGGGAAUAUUGGACAAUGGGCGCAAGCCUGAUCCAGCCAUACUGCGUGGGUGAAGAAGGCCUUCGGGUUGUAAAGCCCUUUUGUUGGGAAAGAAAAGCAGCAGGUUAAUACCCCGCUGUUCUGACGGUACCCAAAGAAUAAGCACCGGCUAACUUCGUG